rnacentral:misc_RNA from 1 species
GGUAAUGAAUGUAACACUGCAAUUUUAUUAACACUGAGUAUAUAGUAAAGGAACUGUGUAAGCAUUCCUUCACAAAUUUCAAACCUUCCAUUGAAGGGUAUCCUGAAUUAAUGUUGAUGAAGCUUCAGAUAAUCACAGGUAAUUAACAUUAUAGCCAGCCCAUGCAAGAUCCUAGUGACGCUGCUGGUCUAAUUUCAUUUCUUUUCCCCAAACCAGAUUAACUGUCAUGCUUUCAACGCUUAUCAAAUGCAUUCAAUCUUGAAUGCUAUGGAAAUACAAUAAUUUUAUAAAUAAAUAAAUCUAUGCCUUAUUGGUUUUUUUCUUAGCAGUAUCCUCAACAAGAACGAUUCCUCAUGCAGUAGCUGGGUGGGACACUGGAUUCAGAUCGACUUUUUUUGUCAAAUCUUUAAUUAGGAUUGCCAAUCAAA